rnacentral:lncRNA from 1 species
AUGUACAAAAUAAACACCUUAAACAUAUCAAACAUUUUAAAAUUUAUAAAUAUCUUAUCUUUUUACAAUGAUAAAUUAAAUAACUAUCGAAAUGAUAUAAUAGAAAUAUUAUCCCAAAAUAAAAUAAAUUUUACUAUGUUACUAUUAAAUAUAAAAAAAGAAGAUGGUGAUAUUAUUAUACCUAUUUUAGUAAAAAUUAUAUUUUCUUUAUUAGAAAAUAACAAAAUCAGUAACAUGAAAUUAAAAAAAAACAUAAUUUUUUAUUUAUCAAGCGUUUCAUAUAGUAAUUAUAGUUACAUAUUAAUACCUAUUAUUUAUUUUUUUACAAACGUUUAUAAAAAUGAAGUAAAUUAUGAUAACUUGCUAAGACAUGAGGACAAAGAAAAAGUACUUUUUCAAUUUUUGAAUGAUGCACGGGGCGACUUUUAUAAUCACUGGAAUUAUUGUUGGGAUGUACAAACGGGGAGUAAAAAAGUUAGUCAAAGUGAUCGUCAAAGUGAUUGUCAAAGCGAUCACCAAAGAGAUCACCAAAGAGAUCACCAAAAAAAUCACCAAAGAAAUCACCAAAGCGAUAGUAACAAAUGUAGUAACGAUAAAUAUAGUAUAGGUAGAGACACCUUUUCGUAUGAACAAAUUUUUAAUAGUUCAUAUUGGACUUUUAAUAGUUACAUUAUUGAAAUAAGAAAAGAUAUUUUAUCAAACACAUUGGUUUUUAAAAAAAAAAUAAAUUUAUUAAUUAACAUGAUACAUAUUAUGAAACAUAAGUUAGGUACCUAUUCAAAUUUUAUCUUACAUAUUUUUAUUACAAUUUUAUAUUAUAUUAAUUCGUAUUGGUUAAUAAAAAAAAGAACAAAAAAAAAUAAUAAAAUUUUUUUAAUUAAGAAGAAGAAAAACGAUGUUAUUUUGAACGAUAUGCGUUAUGAGUACACGAUUAGUAAAGAUAUUUGUCAUGUAGUUGAUGGUAUAACGAAAACAGAAAAAAAUGAUUGUGAUGGUUGUGAUGAAGGUGAUGCUGAUUUGAUUAUAAAAAAAAAACGUAGAUACAAUAACGAUUAUGGUACAUGUAGUAACAUAAUGCAACUGGUAGGUGAAAAUAAAAAGGAUAUAAAAAAAAUGUCUAUUACUAACAAUACAGCUGUUGCUACUGUGACACAAACAAACGAUUGUAAUGACACAUGUGAUAAUACCACAAAACUUAUUCAUGUCCAAUUUGAUUUAUAUAAUAAUUUUCUUAAAAAUAUACAUAAAAAAUGUAUUGAACUUAUAAUAUUUAUUUUAGAUAACUUUAAUAUAAACGAAUGUAACAUUACUAAAGCAAAAAUGUUAUUUACUUUUUUAUUUUACAAAAAUAUAAAAGUUAUUAACUCAACAAAUAUAUUUUUUCGUUUACUAUUUCGAGUUUGGUGCAGAAACGAAUUAUACUAUGACUGUUAUAUAAAUACAAUCCCCAACUCUAUUUUAAUAUUAACAAAAAUUAUAAAUAGUGAUAAAAUAAUCAAACACUUAAAAAAAAACGAAUGGCAAAGUUUAAGUGACAAAGUUUUUAUUGUUAUUCUGCGUCUGUGUGGUUAUACUACUGUGGAGGAAGAUCAGGAGCGUGUUAUUGAAAAAAAUGCUCGCAUAGAGUACGCGAAAAACAGUAAAAGCAAGCAGCACACUUCACAAAAAAAAAAUAUAGUAGUUAAAAAAGAAAACAGAAUACCCUAUGACACGAUACUCCAAAAAAAUAACAAUAAUAAUAAAGGCUUUGGCAUUUCAAAGGGUAUGAAAAUUUUGAAACCGUAUGUACCUAAUAUUAUAGCAUGUAUAAAACAAAACAUUUUAAAAAAAUAUGAAAGAUUUUUGUUAGAGAUGGGGGUUAAUGGUUUUACCCUUCCUAAUGCAACUACAAGUUCUACCACAUUUUUAAAAAAAAAAAAAAAAAUAAACGCAAUAAAAGUUAUUGGUUAUAAAGAAUUGUAUAUUUUAAUUGAAUUAUCUGCUUUUAAUUUAGAUAUAAUGCAAAGUAUAAAUAUUAUAAACUUAAUAAUUGUGAUUAUAAGGUCGAACCCUAAUAUAUUAUUUAUUGAUAAAUAUGAUAAUAUAAAUAAAAUGAAACUAGCAUUAAUAACUUUAAAAAAAUUAAUACUAGAUAUAACAAAUAAAAACAAUUUAAAUAAAAAAAAAAAUAAAAAUAAAUUAAAUUUGGUACUUUAUAAAUCUAAAAAUGUUUAUAAUAACUGGAAUGAUAGUAUGAUAGCAUCGGGAUAUGAAGAAGUGGGAAAACAUAAUGUUGCUAGUCAGAAAGAAGACGAACAAAAAAAAAAACAUCAACAAAAACAUCAACAAAAACAUCAACACAAACCUGUUUUUAACUUUAACAAAACUAAAACAUAUGAUUACUCCCAAUAUAUAAUGGAUUUAUGUUAUAAAAUAAAAAACAUGUUAUUUGAAAUAAUACCUAAAUGUUAUGAUAUAUCAUGUCGAAUACUUGCAAGUGAACUUUUAAUUAUUGUAGGAUGUGUUUUUAUAAAAAUACAAAAUAUAAAAAAAUAUAUAUCUGUUUUUAAAAAAAAUAUAGACAUAUUUUUAAACAAAACUAAUGAUUUAAAUUAUAACUCGCAAAGCUAUAUGAAAUAUAUAAUGAAAAUACCAGUAAAAAAUGUAACUAUAAAAAAUAAU